GAAACUGAAACUCGGCAGCUUGUGAGGAGAGCAGCGAGUGAAAACACAGUGCUGACUAUCAGCUGUAUCCUGUGGCCAAAAUCAUCUUAAUAAUUCCCUGGGAACAAUAUGACAACGACCAGUCAGAGACUGCAGUGUUCUAAUCUGACAGAGGAAAGCUGUAAAGUUCUAUCCUCAGUUCUCAGCUCAAACUCCUCCAGUUUGAGAGAACUGGACCUGAGUUUCAAUAACCUGCAGGAUUCAGAGAUGAAGCUGCUCUCUGCUGGACUGGAGAAUCCACAUUGUACACUGGAGAAACUGAGGUUGUGUUGGUGCAAUCUCUUAGAACAAAGCUGCAGAGUUCUGUCUUUGGUUAUCAGUUCAAACUCCUCCAGUCUGAGAGAACUGGACUUGAGUGGCAACAAACUGCAGGAUUCAGAAAUUAAACUGCUCUGUAUUGGACUGGAGAAUCCACAAUGUAACCUGGAGACACUCAGGCUCUGUUGUUGUAAUUUGACAGAGGAAAGCUGUAAAGUUCUGUCCUCAGUUCUCAGCUCAAACUCCUCCAGUCUGAGAGAACUGGACCUGACAAACAAUAACCUGCAGGAUUCAGGAGUGAAACUGCUCUCUGCUGGACUGGAGAAUCCACACUGUACACUGGAGAUACUGAGGCUGUGUUUGUGUGAUCUGACAGAGGAAAGCUGUAAAGUUCUGUCCUCAGUUCUCAGCUCAAACUCCUCCAGUCUGAGAGAACUGGAACUGAGUAACAAUAAACUGCAGGAUUCAGGAGUGAAACUGCUCUCUGCUGGACUGAAGAAUCCACACUGUACACUGGAGAAACUGGGAUUGUAUGGUUGCUGUCUCACAGAGGAAAGUUGUAGAGCUCUGUCAUCAGUUCUCAUCUCGAACUCCUCCAGUCUGAGGGAACUGAACCUUACAGAUAAUAAACUACAAGCUUCAGGAGUGAAGCUGCUCUCUGCUGGACUGGAGAAUCCACACUGUACACUGGAGAAACUGAGGUUGUGCUUGUGUGAUCUCUCAGAGGAAAGCUGUAGAACUCUGUCCUCAGUUCUCACAUCCUCCAGUCUGAGGGAACUGAACCUGUGGGAUAAUAAACUGCAGGAUUCAGGAGUGAAGCUGCUCUCUGCUGGACUGGAGAAUCCACACUGUACACUGGAGAUACUGGAACUGACACGGUGCAGUAUUACAGAAGAAGGUUGUGUUGCUCUGGCUUCAGCUCUGAGGUCAAACCCCUCAUCUCACCUGAGAGAACUUAACCUGGACUACAAUAAACCAGGAGAAUUAGGAGAGAAGCUGCUUUCUGAUCUACUGAAGGAUCCACACUGUAAACUGAAGACACUACAGUUGGAUGUGAGAAUAAAGAGAAAGAGUCUUUCUGGGAAAAGAUGGACGAAGUGGUAGAAAGUAUACCGAGGGAGGAGUGCGUGCUGAUAGGAGCAGAUUUCAAUGGACAUGCUGCAUGAAAUAAACUAAUACGUCUUCCUGAAGAUGAACUGAAUGAGAUUAAACUCUGUUGCAUUCCUUUCUCUGGAUUAAAGUUUAAUGAUGUAAUAUUCCUCUCUGUAGAAUACAUUCAGCUUUGUGUGUGUGUGUGUGUGUGUGUGUGUGUGUGUGUGUGUGUGUGUGUGUGUGAGAUUACAGUGUAUGUUUUUAUAUGAGACUAUAAAAUACGGGAAUAGAAUUGAAGUCAUCUGUGGUCUCACACAUUUACAGAUGCAUGUGCAUGCUCUCUCUCUCUCUCUCACACACAAAUACUCAGACUUUUUCUUUAUUCCACAAACUGUUGAUGAACAUAUUGAGCUGGAUAUAGAUGCAUAUAAACAUAUGCAAAUUUGCACAGAAUGACAGGCUUUUAGACAGUAAAUUUAAGUCCUUGCUGUUUUCUGAAUAAUCUAAAUAUUGUCACAUUAAAUUGAAGCAGUAGUAAAUAGUGUACUGUCUAGAUUAGCUGUAGAAUAAUAAAACCCAGGUAUGUUGUGAACUUGGUGAGGAUGAAGGCGCGCACGCACACACACAAAAAAAUAUAUAUUUACUGUGUGUGUGUGUGUGUGUGUGUGUA